AACGGAGGGGGCGAGAGUUGUCCGGAAUUACUGGGCGUAAAGGGCGCGUAGGCGGUUCUUUAAGUCAGAGGUGAAAACUGUCGGCUCAACCGGCAGCCUGCCUUUGAAACUGGAGGACUUGAGGGCAGGAGAGGGGAGUGGAAUUCCCAGUGUAGCGGUGAAAUGCGUAGAUAUUGGGAGGAACACCAGUGGCGAAGGCGGCUCUCUGGCCUGUUGCGGACGCGGAGGCGAGAAAGCGGGGGGAUCACACAGGAUGCGAUAACAGCGUAGUCC
rnacentral:rRNA from 1 species